UGACCGCUGGCGGUAGGCCUAACACAUGCACGUCGAACGGCAGCACAGUAAGAGCUUGCUCCUACGGGUGGCGAGUGGCGGACGGGUGAGGAAUACAUCGGAAUCUACUUUUUCGUGGGGGAUAACGUAGGGAAACUUACGCUAAUACCGCAUACGACCUACGGGUGAAAGCAGGGGAUCUUCGGACCUUGCGCGAUUGAAUGAGCCGAUGUCGGAUUAGCUAGUUGGCGGGGUAAAGGCCCACCAAGGCGACGAUCCGUAGCUGGUCUGAGAGGAUGAUCAGCCACACUGGAACUGAGACACGGUCCAGACUCCUACGGGAGGCAGCAGUGGGGAAUAUUGGACAAUGGGCGCAAGCCUGAUCCAGCCAUACCGCGUGGGUGAAGAAGGCCUUCGGGUUGUAAAGCCCUUUUGUUGGGAAAGAAAAGCAGCAGGUUAAUACCCCGCUGUUCUGACGGUACCCAAAGAAUAAGCACCGGCUAACUUCGUG
rnacentral:rRNA from 1 species